ensembl:antisense Gm42823 predicted gene 42823
AGCAUACAUAAGACAUUCAUCAGCGAACAUCUGGAUCCUUGCUGGAUUUUCUCUUCAUGAUGUAUGCAAGUCCACUCCCACUUCAGGAUGAGGACAAGGAGGUCAGGAGCAGCAGGAUGGAUUGGGUUCCCCUACCUUCCCUGGAUGCUCCCCUGACAAUGGCCGGGUUGAUGCUGCAGGGUAUUGGAAAUACCGAAGCCUCCCUGGAUGAACAGCAGUGACUAUGACUAUAGAAUACAGCAACUGCUACAAAAUU